CUACGGUCAAAUCAUGCUAAAAACACCUAUUCCCGUUCGAUCAUUGAAGUUAAGCAUCGUCAAGCCUGGGCAGUACUUACAAGGGGAACUGCUUGAAAACACUGGUCACUGUAA